AGUGGGGAUGCUUUGACAGAUUGUAGUGGUGAGUCACUUGCCCAAUGACUGAGCAGCUGAUGAGCUUUAACAGAUGGAGAGAGAGGAAAAAGUCACUGUGUUUGUAGUUAUUGAAAACAAUACAGAGAGUGGUGCCUUAGAAGUGCAGUGGGGAU